GGCUGCAGCAGCGGGAGCAGAGAGAUGCAGUGUCGCUGGCUGCGAAGGUGGAGAAAGGGGACCACGGAGCCCAGGAACUCAGGCAGCUUCUAGAAGCUGGAAGAGAUUUUCAAAGCAAAAACAGAGUUGGAAUCUUGGCAGCACUGGACAAAGGGAAAAGAAAAUUACGAACUGGUCUUGGCAGAACUGGGCAGAGAGAAAAGGCAAUUGCUAGUGCAGAGCCCCGCUUCAAGGCAGCCUGGAGCUGCAGUGGGCAUUGCCCUCCCGGGACCCUCUCUUCCUAAGGACUUCGGGUCGGGGCUGAGCAGCAGCAUUCUGCAGCCCUGCGAAGGGCGCCUUGGUGCGCACACCACUGUCUGGGUAGCUCGCAGCUCGAGACUGCAGUUGGCAGGCUUAUUCUUCCCGUCUUCCCUCGCCUUGACCCAGAGUGGAGAAAAUAUUUUACUGAAAAGUGACUUUGUAAUGUCAAAGGCCAAAGCUCCUAUCAUUCAGUGUGGUACAAACUGGGACUUUCAGAAUUUUGGUGAACUUGUAUAUUUUGUGCUUCUUUAAAAGAAGGGUACGGGUAAAAAAUGAUGUGAGAUCCUUUGUGGGGUAAGGGAAGGACGAUCAUCCCUUCCAUCUUCCUAACAACCCUGAGGCAGGUGUCCCCAUCUCCAAAGUACAGGUGAGUCUGAUAGCACACUUCCUAUUUCCUCAUGAAGGACGCAUGGAGGAAAGGUGUGGGCUGCUCUGUUUGAACUGUCAGGCAAGGAACGAAAGCUGGUAGCUUCAGAACCAGGAGAAACACAAAUACAUCUUCGCAUCAUGACUUUUUAAAACACAUCAAGUGACACCUUUUAAACCAAUGACAAUGGUUUCUACUCCUGUUUCUAACCCAAUUCCUCUUUGGGAAUUUGCUCUUCAAACCCCAGCAUGACUUUCUGUGAAACUCCUAAUAAAUCAUUCAGUUUUGCCUUGAAGCUGCUGAAUAACUUGGACUAAUGUGAAA